UACGUAGGGUCCGAGCGUUGUCCGGAAUUACUGGGCGUAAAGAGCUCGUAGGCGGUUUGUCGCGUCGUCCGUGAAAACUCACAGCUCAACUGUGGGCGUGCGGGCGAUACGGGCAGACUUGAGUACUGCAGGGGAGACUGGAAUUCCUGGUGUAGCGGUGGAAUGCGCAGAUAUCAGGAGGAACACCGGUGGCGAAGGCGGGUCUCUGGGCCGAUACUGACGCUGAGGAGCGAAAGCGUGGGGAGCGAACAGG
rnacentral:rRNA from 1 species